rnacentral:rRNA from 1 species
UACGUAGGCAGCGAGCGUUGUUCGGAUUUACUGGGCGUAAAGGGCUCGUAGGCGGCAAACGAAGUCAGACGUGAAAUCCCUCGGCUCAACCGGGGAACUGCGUCUGAUACUGGAUGGCUUGAAUCCGGAAGAGGGAUGCGGAAUUCCAGGUGUAGCGGUGAAAUGCGUAGAUAUCUGGAGGAACACCGGUGGCGAAGGCGGCAUCCUGGGUCGGCAUUGACGCUGAGGAGCGAAAGCCAGGGGAGCAAACGGG